rnacentral:rRNA from 1 species
CCUACGGGAGGCAGCAGUGGGGAAUAUUGCACAAUGGGCGAAAGCCUGAUGCAGCAACGCCGCGUGAGGGACGACGGCCUUCGGGUUGUAAACCUCUUUUAGUAGGGAAGAAGCGAAAGUGACGGUACCUGCAGAAAAAGCACCGGCUAACUACGUGCCAGCAGCCGCGGUAAUACGUAGGGUGCAAGCGUUGUCCGGAAUUAUUGGGCGUAAAGAGCUCGUAGGCGGUUUGUCGCGUCUGCUGUGAAAUCCGGAGGCUCAACCUCCGGCCUGCAGUGGGUACGGGCAGACUAGAGUGCGGUAGGGGAGAUUGGAAUUCCUGGUGUAGCGGUGGAAUGCGCAGAUAUCAGGAGGAACACCGAUGGCGAAGGCAGAUCUCUGGGCCGUAACUGACGCUGAGGAGCGAAAGCAUGGGGAGCGAACAGGAUUAGAUACCCUGGUAGUCCAUGCCGUAAACGUUGGGAACUAGAUGUAGGGACCAUUCCACGGUUUCUGUGUCGCAGCUAACGCAUUAAGUUCCCCGCCUGGGGNUACGGCCGCAAGGCUAAAACUCAAAGGAAUUGACGG